rnacentral:rRNA from 1 species
UACGGAGGGUGCAAGCGUUAUCCGGAUUCACUGGGUUUAAAGGGUGCGUAGGUGGGCAGGUAAGUCAGUGGUGAAAUCUCCGGGCUUAACCCGGAAACUGCCGUUGAUACUAUCUGUCUUGAAUAUCCUGGAGGUGAACGGAAUAUGUCAUGUAGCGGUGAAAUGCUUAGAUAUGACAUAGAACACCAAUUGCGAAGGCAGUUCACUACGGGAUCAUUGACACUGAGGCACGAAAGCGUGGGGAUCAAACAGG